GUUUUUGUAGUUGAUGUAACAACGGCGGUUUUUCGGGCUGCAGGACUCAGAGGAGCAAAAAUU
rnacentral:tRNA from 1 species